rnacentral:rRNA from 1 species
AGUGGGGAAUCUUGCGCAAUGGACGAAAGUCUGACGCAGCGAUGCCGCGUGCGGGAUGAAGGCCCUCGGGUUGUAAACCGCUUUCAGCAGGGACGAAAUUGACGGUACCUGCAGAAGAAGCCCCGGCCAACUACGUGCCAGCAGCCGCGGUAAUACGUAGGGGGCGAGCGUUGUCCGGAUUUAUUGGGCGUAAAGAGCUCGUAGGCGGUUCGAUAAGUCGGAUGUGAAAUCUCCACGCUCAACGUGGAGGGGCCAUUCGAUACUGUCGUGACUCGAGUCCGGUAGGGGAGUGUGGAAUUCCCGGUGUAGCGGUGAAAUGCGCAGAGAUCGGGAGGAACACCCGUAGCGAAGGCGGCACUCUGGGCCGGUACUGACGCUGAGGAGCGAAAGCGUGGGGAGCAAA